GACAGAGGUGCCAAGCGUUGUUCGGAAUUACUGGGCGUAAAGCGCGUACAGGUGGCCUUGUAAGUCAUGUGUGAAAUCCCUUCGCUCAACGAAGGAACGGCAUGUGAGACUGCAGAGCUCGAGGGUGGGAGAGGAGAGUGGAAUUCCUGGUGUAGCGGUGAAAUGCGUAGAUAUCAGGAGGAACACCCGUGGCGAAGGCGGCUCUCUGGUCCACUCCUGACACUCAAACGCGAAAGCUAGGGGAGCAAACGGGAUUAGAUA
rnacentral:rRNA from 1 species